GCAAUGGUGGUUUGGUGGUACAAUUCUCCACUCCCGUACAGGGGACCCGGGUUCGAUUCCUGGCCAAUGCA
rnacentral:tRNA from 1 species